GACGAACGCUGGCGGCGUGCUUAACACAUGCAAGUCGAACGGAAAGGCCCUGCUUUUGUGGGGUGCUCGAGUGGCGAACGGGUGAGUAACACGUGAGUAACCUGCCCUUGACUUUGGAAUAACUUCAGGAAACUGGGGCUAAUACCGGAUAGGAGCUCCUGCUGCAUGGUGGGGGUUGGAAAGUUUCGGCGGUUGGGGAUGGACUCGCGGCUUAUCAGCUUGUUGGUGGGGUAGUGGCUUACUAAGGCUUUGACGGGUAGCCGGCCUGAGAGGGUGACCGGCCACAUUGGGACUGAGAUACGGCCCAGACUCCUACGGGAGGCAGCAGUGGGGAAUAUUGCACAAUGGGCGGAAGCCUGAUGCAGCAACGCCGCGUGCGGGAUGACGGCCUUCGGGUUGUAAACCGCUUUCGCCUGUGACGAAGCGUGAGUGACGGUAAUGGGUAAAGAAGCACCGGCUAACUACGUG
rnacentral:rRNA from 1 species